rnacentral:tRNA from 1 species
GUCUUUUUAGUAUAAAAAUAUAAAUGACUUCCAAUUAUUAGAUCUUAGUUGUUCUAAGAAAAGACA